CCCAAUUCAGGAGUUGUUCUGAAAAAAGAGUAAGGCAUGAAAGAAAACAAUUUGGUUUCUAAUUUAUGAUUUUUUCUCAUGAGUUUUUAAUCCACAACUUGAAAUUUGUUUUGUAUACAUGCGCACUGCUAAAUCACAGAUGACUCAAAUUUGAUUUGUAUACCUGCGCACUGCUAAAUCUGCCCCUCUCUUCGAAUCUGUCGAUCGGGAAAAGGUCACUUUCCCUCUCUCUUUGUAUAUAUGCGUGUAUCAAUGUGCUUAUCUACUUGUGAGAAUUUGUAUCUAUACAUAAUUAUCCAUACAUCUAUAAACACACACACGAAUAUAUUGGUUUGAAGUUUUCAUCUUUUAACUUUUAGCUUUUCUAGGGUUUAUUGUGCCAAACUGAUAUAACCUGUGAAAUUCCCAUCUUUAUACACAUAAUAUCUUUGUUUGUCACCGGGGCUUCCUUUGCCCUCUUUCAGCAUACGUCUUCUCUAUUUUAGCUUGUCACAAUUGAUGGUCGCAGUUUAAAGAAAUAGUUGCAGUGGGACAAUUUUUCAGCUAUGAAGAUGUUGUAGAAACUGCUAGAUAUAUAUAUAUAUAUAUAUAUAUAUAUAUAUAUAUAUAUAUAUAUAUAUAUAUAUAUAUAUAUAUAUAUAUAUAUAUAUAUAUAUAAAUAUUGAUUGUGUUCAAUUGGAAUUGAUUGGGAAUUACAUGUUGAUGUUAAUGCUUGGCUUGAAGCAUUUAGUGCUCAUCCCCAAAUCGGUUUAUCUCCUUCCUCUGCC
rnacentral:lncRNA from 1 species